rnacentral:pre_miRNA from 7 species
CUUCGGGGUUCCUGGGUGUCACGCAGAUCUCAGUGGAACCUCCAAAUGAAACAACCUAGUGGGGAGACCCCCCCACUCACAAGUCUCGAGAUGGUGCUCACAUCCAAGGAAUCACAAGAGACU